rnacentral:tRNA from 1 species
AUCAAGUUAGUUUAUUUAAAACCUUAGGGUGUGGACCUAAAAAUGAAAAAAUUUUUCACUUGAUA